CCAGAGCUGAGGCGAGUAAGACCUUCCCUGGAGCUGGGCCUAGAGUCUGAGGUAGGCCAUAAGGUGAAGCCUCUGACUUGUGCAGGGAUUAAGGAACAUUCGCUCUUAUUUACGUUGUAGCUAACGGUGAUUUCUGUCAGGGUUUCCACCAUAUUUUGUGUAAGGAGAGCAAAAGAAGUGUAUUAAUACCACCUUUAGGAGCAAAACACUUGGAAUGUUCUGCAGAGGUGGAAAGCCUGUUCCUGAUGUUGGAGAAGAUCUGUAGUACUUGAGGAAUGUUUUCCUUGAUCACCAGCCUGGCCUGAAGCAGAUCAAGGUAUUCCUUAAUAAUGGCAAAAUACACCGAAGUCACUCUUAGUUCUUGCAUGGUGUGUGCUGCUGUACAGGUCUCAAACGCGUGAUGGAUGCCCGUACGGUAACAAUUCUCUCUCUUCAAAAAUAGAGGAUGUGAGAAGAGAAAGGCAAGUCAGAAGAGUGUCAGAAGUCACGUGUGUGGGUGAAGUGUUGCUAGUUCCUGGCCUUGCAUGAAGCACUGCAUGGAGUCCUGUCCCCAAAACUGCCUAGAGCUGUGCCUGGCUGCAGGGUCAGAGGGAUGCACCUUUAGUGCAAGGUCACACAGUGACAAAACCUGCAAAUGCCAUACUGGGAUGUGUAAAUAGUACAGUGCUUAAACCAAGAAUAACUUGCAGGGAGCUACAGGCAGGAUUUGUCUAUGCAAAAGCAGAUGCUUACAUUUGAGUAAGUUGUCUGGACUCCCUCUCUUGUCCACAGAGAAAAGCAGGCACCUUUGGGGUCUGGUGCACUCCAUUCUAGGACAGAUGUUCAAUCUGGCAUUAUAAACCAGAAAAUAUAUUUCCUCACCUAUCACAAGGGAGACUAACAGGUUCGGUGACUUCUCAACACAGAAGUAAUGGUAAGUCUACUGCCUUAUAACACAGGUUUCACUCCAUCAGCUCUAACUGAAGAGAGAUGAAGACAAGGGAGGCUCAGUGGCAGGAACCACAACUGCAGUGGGAAAUGCCCAGUGUCUGGAUGUAGACCACAGAGCUGUUAUGUCUGAGGCUGAAGGGUCAGACGUUGUUAGCAACGUUUUAUGGAGCAGCUGGUCAGGGAAGCCAUGAAAGGAGAAGCAAUUCUUGACUGAAGGCAGAGAACAGGACCUCACUACUCAGUCUCUGAAUCAGUGACCAUUACAUACUUAAGAGUCACCACGCUGAUCAGGGCAACGAAAGCUAAAGAAAUCUUCUUAAUUUUGGAAAGGGGAACUCCGUAACAGCAAGAAGGCCUCUUGAAAAAAGCUGAAAGGGGUAGCUAAAAGGGUAAAAGGGGUUUAUGCAGUAUGGAGCUAACUGAAAGACAUCGC